GGGGAUACAGAUUUCUGGGGGGUACUGAAUUGGUUACAACACCCGUUCACAGAGCACGUAGCAACCAGGGACGCUGUUUGUUGUCUGAGCCUGUGCACCCGCUCUGUGAACUCCGUUACCCCUGUACAACCAGUCUCAGAACCCAAACAACAAUGCCCCACACAGUGUUUAUGAAAAAUCGGCACAGACCAAAUCCUGGAAAUUCCUCUCACCUCAUAAAAAAAAAUGUUCCAGUCUGGACCAAUUCAUUACUUUACUUCUCUGCACUGCAGCAUCGAUUACAACAUUUUUACAAGAUAGAAUGUACCCACUUUAGGAAUAUUUAGUCAAGACAAGGUUAUUUAAUGAACGAACCAAGUUAGUAACCAACGAAUUGAUUAACCAAAUUAUUUCAAAAGGGAAAACUAAUAGUAUUUUCAGUGUCUAUUUAUUUUCUUUAAAAUGAAAAAUAUGCCAUUGUGUACCAUGUUAGUGAAGAUGAAAAUCUUUGAGCAUCCAUAAACUUCAAUAUACUGUAGUUCUGCUAUAUGGGUACAAUGUGAUUUAUUGACUACCAGUUGUGAAGUAUAUUGUAAUGUGUGUUUAUUUAUUUUUUUUAUAACAAAGUUCAUUGUGUUGAUUUCAGUUAAGUGAAGUUCUGGUCUUUCUAGAAAGUUACAAUAAGAUAAAUGCUUCCUUUUAUAUAUUCUGCAAAGGCUUAAAUCAGCUGUCUGUGAAGGAAAUGCUGUCAUUUAACAAGAUACUACAACUCUCACGAUCUUAAAGGAGCAGUGACCAAGGUGCUGGCAGCCCCUUUUAAACUAUCCCCAUCUGGUGUAAUAAAACACUGCCUGUCCCUUUAAAAUCUGCACGGCAUAUUAUCUCUUUCUGGUUGAGACAGUGCAGCCCCACAUCUGAAUAUAAUUAUUGCCAAUGCGACCCUAAACUCCUCUCCCAUAGCCUAGACAGAUUUUACUCAUGUUGUCUUCUUUAAAAUAUCUCAAUGACAAUUAACCAAAGUUAAACUUAGACAUGUAUUUACGGUAACUACUAAAAAUGUAAGCUUUUUUUAAACAAAGAUUUUGCAGAAGUCAAGUAAUUUUACAACAUGAUAUGUUUUAUUACCUUUACCGUGUUGAUUUUUUUUUUUUUUUUACAUUCUUAUUUUAGGUUUCUUGUGACAGUUUGGGGCCAGAUUCAAAGUUGCUGAGAGCACCUUAAGGCUGAUCUGAUAUUUGUAAUCAACCUGGUUGGAAUAAAUAAUUUAUUUAAUCAAAUACGAAUAAUUUUAAAAAGGGUCUUUGCACCUCUCUCUGUUUCUCCUUCUCUCUUGCCCACAUGUACUGUAUAAUACGUGGUUUUCAAUCUGUAAUCGGCCUGGAGAGCAUAACCACAGUUCAGUGUACAGAGCAGCUGCAAAACUUGAAAAGUUCAUAAAAUAUAAUAAAAGGGAGCUCUUUCUCUCCAAUCUGCUGCCCUAGACAGCAGAUCAAGCCUGGCAGGUUCACACUGGAGUCCCAGAAUUGCGUUUGCUUUUAUAUUAAAUGCAGCUGUUGGUAUAUUUGCUGUGAAUGUACAGCUGCAGAAUGCAUUAACAGAUGGAACAGUGUUACCUCUCCAUUCUGCUAUUCUGUUUGUUGUAUUUUUUGUGAGCUGGCAGGGGUGUUCUAGCAGCAGGCUUUCAUAGCUGUUCAUGUCAUGUGAUAAUUUGAUACGUAACACAUUUUUUGGGAAAUUUUCCAUAGCUUUUAAAAUAAACUUGAAUUUUUCUGAAAAUAAUUUUUAAAGCAUAUAUUAAAUAUUAUGCCCUCAAAAGUCACCCAUCUGCUAGGGAUGUCUGUGCAAGAUGAUUACUUUGCUAGUUCACAAAUCGUAUGAAAUAUGAAUAUUAUUAUUCGUAUGAAUAACAGGCUGUAAAGACAGCAUUUACAGAUUAGAGUAGUAGUUGAAAUGCUCACUGUACUGUACAGUAAAUAUAGGGUUGCUAAAUUGCAAUGGAACUAAACUACAGUUGCAUUGCAGUUGGACUGAAAUCUGUCUACACCCUCCUGAUGAGAUGUACUUUCACUAUGUAUCUUCAGGCAGUCUCCUGCUUGUUGCUGUAAGCUCUGUAGGAAAAGAAGACCCGAAGAGAUUGUGGGCCCCUUGCAGUAAAUGCCUGCUUAAAGUUAACUGACAGUUAUGUAAUUGGUAGCAAAGUAACUACUCAGUGCCCAGACCCUUAUAUCCAGGGCAUUUACCCAUACCGAACCCCUCAUUUACUGAAGCAGGAAGAACAACAAUCAAAUGCACUAUUGUAAAUCCAAUAGCACUACACAGUAAUCGUAAGCCUUGUGUAUUGUCUUAGACAGCCAAGCAUACACUGACAGUAUCACACUGCUGUACUUGUAAUCUGGAAAUGCUCACUGUAACUGCUGCUUCAUUUCUUUAAUUUUCAUUUUUGCUAAGGAAAAGUGAAGGACAAUGGCACUAGCUAUGGUCAGGCAUGGUGCUGGCAUUUCAUGAGCAGCAUACAAGCUUCCACCACAGCUCUGAGAGCCCUGAACUCGCAACAUACCCCCUGCCUUCACUCCUGGGUCUCACUCAAACAGUGGACACAUUAUUUGUUGUAUUUCCAAACUGGGUAUUAUUUGGACUGAUGAAUGUGUUCCGGGCAGCUAAGUUGAGACACCAAACUAAUUUUACUUGUGACCUCUGCUGAAUUGAAAACCAGACCAGGUAAAGCACAUGCUGGCAAUUUAGCCUAUUAUGACACUUAGCCUUCCUAAUUUCUAAUAUCAAAGUGGGUAUUAAAUGCUAGAUAACUGUUCUAUAUUAUAUUUGAAUGUAUUUAAACAGUCUUAAUACCAUUUUAAAAACUGAUUUUCAGUGGUCCUUAUUUCACUGUAUAUGUAUUGUAUGUAUUAAAGUGUGUGUGUGGAAGUGGUCAGGGCACCAGCAGAACUCUGGAGAAACAUUGACACACACUUCAGAGAUUUGACAGACAGGUGGCCACAUUGUCAAACAUGGUCUAAAUGCGUGAAAGUAAACACUACAAAACUUACACAGGCUGUACUGAAUACAGACAAACAGGCAAGGAUUCUCCAAGUCAAUGCAACAUCAUAGAGUACCUUACAACUUUGGAGAGAAACUUUUUUUGUUCUGUAUGUGAUUCAUAUACCAGCACUA